rnacentral:rRNA from 1 species
CCGUCAAUUCCUUUAAGUUUCAGCCUUGCGGCCGUACUUCCCAGGUGGCUCGCUUCACGGCUUCCCUACGGCACCGACAACGGUCGCACCGUGGCCGACACCUAGCGAGUAUCGUUUACGGCUAGGACUACCCGGGUAUCUAAUCCGGUUCGUGCCCCUAGCUUUCGUCCCUUGCCGUCAGGUCCGUUCUGGUGAGACGCCUUCGCCACUGGUGGUCCUUCAAGGAUUACAAGAUUUCACCCCUACCCCUGAAGUACCUCUCACCUCUCCCGGCCUCGAGCCGAACAGUAUCUCCUGAAAGCCCAACAGUUGAGCUGCUGGAUUUCUCAAGAGACUUAUCCGGCCGGCUACAGACCCUUUAGACCCAAUAAUAACGGUUACCACUCGAGCCGCCGGUGUUACCGCGGCGGCUGGCACCGGUCUUGCCCGGCCCUUGCUAUGCAAUGCUUUUUAGGCAUCACGACAGCCAGAUUUGUAACCUGGCACUCGAGGUCCCCUUAUCGCCGUUGCCGGCAUUGUAAAGUUUUCGCGCCUGCUGCCUCCCGUAGGAGU